UAUAUUGUUGAUUAUUCUUUUAACUUCUAGUUAUAUCAGUUUGAGGACUGCCUCGUUAUUUCAUUCUGGUAAAUAGGUUUUUGCUUUUUUGUGGGAAUAUAGGUAAAUUCUGCCUUCAACGGGAAACGUAAGAUGUUACGGAGAUCACUCCAGCACAUAUGCACAUCCCUCGAAAUUGAACAAGCUUUGGGAAGAUUUGGUCUUCCAGCUACUUCCAGACCAGAGGAGCUUACAUUGGAUGAUUUCGUGAAGCUGCAUAACUUGAUUGCCUAAGAAUAGUGCUUCUGGUUUUUAUGAACGGCAACUUAAAAGGCUGACGUCCCAACACAGCCUGAUAUACCACAUUGUGGAGAUUGCACCAGAGUUAAAAGGCAAACAUGGUCCCAGAUAUUUCUACAUGAUUAAAAUCAUGUCAUCAUCCAUUGCUGAAACGUGAAUUGGAGAUGACAUAGGUUGUGGGUAAGUCUACUUGGACGCAUUAUGAGGGCCAAAGCGGCACACUUGUGGCUGAAACAGCAUUUAUGAGCCCCAAAAGUCAAGCUCAUGCAAUGAAUAUAAGCAUGGUGUGCACCAUUGCUCAUCUUCCCCUGCAAACCCUGGUUUCUUUGUCCUUACUUUUUAUUCCACCCAUCUGAUCGUACCAUAAGUUGAGUUGUACAUGCAGAUGAAUAUUUAUGCACAAGUUUAGAGAUGUCAUGAUUUUGUAAUGCUCUUACGAGAAGAUAACAGGGACAUCAAAUGGUUU